rnacentral:rRNA from 1 species
CUUCGGAUCGUAAAGCACUUUCGACCGGGACGAAAACCUAGUGGCUAACAUCUACUAGACUGACGGUACCGGGAGAAGAAGCACCGGCUAACUCUGUGC